UUUCGGAUCGGCAGGAUGUACCCCCAGGGAAGGCACCCGGUGAGUGGGGACUGCGGGGAGGGGGCCCCCAGUGUCCGGGAACUCAGACCCUGACGUUUCCCCCAAACCCCCCCAGACCCCGCUCCAGUCCGGCCAACCCUUCAAGUUCUCGAUCUUGGAGAUCUGCGACCGCAUCAAAGAAGAAUUCCAGUUUCUCCAGGCUCAGUACCACAGCCUCAAGCUCGAAUGUGAGAAGCUGGCCAGCGAGAAGACGGAAAUGCAGCGACAUUAUGUCAUGUAUUAUGAGAUGUCUUACGGGCUCAACAUUGAAAUGCAUAAGCAGGCGGAGAUUGUGAAGCGUCUGAGCGGUAUCUGCGCUCAGAUUAUCCCUUUCCUGACCCAGGAGCAUCAGCAGCAGGUGCUCCAGGCCGUAGAGCGUGCCAAGCAGGUCACCGUGGGGGAGCUGAACAGCCUCAUCGGGGUGAGUCUAGCCCCUGCUCCGCCAUGGGGAGACGCCCACUCCCAGGUCCCUGGCACCCACCCAGGAGGUGUUAAAGCUGGGGGUGGUGUGUGGGCCUCGGCUCCGGCGGUCCUGGGAACCCUAGGGGCACAUGCUGUGCUUAGGUCCCAUCCCCUGUGUCUACCUCUUGGGCUGGGGACCGCUGGGCUCCUGCCGCCCCCCGCCCCGGCCCAUCCUGCCUCCUUUCUAGCAGCAGCAGCUCCAGCCGCUGUCCCACCACGCACCCCCUGUACCCCUCACCCCCCGCCCAGCCGGGCUGGUGGGUGGCAGUGCUACGGGGCUGCUUGCCCUGUCUGGAGCCCUGGCCGCCCAGGCUCAGCUGGCCGCGGCUGUCAAGGAGGACCAUGCGGGCGUGGAGGCCGAGGGGUCCAGAGUGGAGAGAGCCCCGAGCAGGAGUGCAUCUCCCUCGCCCCCUGAGAGUCUCGUGGAGGAGGAGCGACCGAGUGGCCCUGGUGGUGGUGGGAAGCAGAGAGCAGAUGAGAAGGAGCUGUCAGGACCUUAUGAAAGCGACGAAGACAAGAGUGACUACAAUCUGGUAGUGGAUGA
rnacentral:sRNA from 1 species